rnacentral:rRNA from 1 species
AGCAUGCAAGUCAAACGGGAUGUAGCAAUACAUCUAGUGGCGAACGGGUGAGUAACGCGUGGAUGAUCUACCUACGAGAUGGGGAUAACUAUUAGAAAUAGUAGCUAAUACCGAAUAAAGUCAAUUAAUUUGUUAAUUGAUGAAAGGAAGCCUUUAAAGCUUCGCUUGUAGAUGAGUCUGCGUCUUAUUAGCUAGUUGGUAGGGUAAAUGCCUACCAAGGCGAUGAUAAGUAACCGGCCUGAGAGGGUGAACGGUCACACUGGAACUGAGAUACGGUCCAGACUCCUACGGGAGGCAGCAGCUAAGAAUCUUCCGCAAUGGGCGAAAGCCUGACGGAGCGACACUGCGUGAAUGAAGAAGGUCGAAAGAUUGUAAAAUUCUUUUAUAAAUGAGGAAUAAGCUUUGUAGGAAAUGACGAAGUGAUGACGUUAAUUUAUGAAUAAGCCCCGGCUAAUUACGUGCCAGCAGCCGCGGUAAUACG